AUACGUAGGGGGCGAGCGUUGUCCGGAAUGAUUGGGCGUAAAGGGCGCGUAGGCGGCUUUGCAAGUCAGUAGUGGAAGUCCAUUUUUCAAGGAUGGAAGUGCUACAGAAACUGCGGAGCUUGAGUGCAGGAGAGGUUAUCGGAAUUCCCGGUGUAGCGGUGAAAUGCGUAGAGAUCGGGAGGAACACCAGUGGCGAAGGCGGGUAACUGGACUGCAACUGACGCUGAGGCGCGAAAGUGUGGGGAGCAAACAGGAUUAGAUACCCUGGUAGUCCACACUGUAAACGAUGAUUGCUAGGUGUGGGGGGUCUGACCCCUUCUGUGCCGCAGCUAACGCAAUAAGUAUUCCACCUGGGGAGUACGGCCGCAAGGUUGAAACUCAAAGGAAUCGACGGGG
rnacentral:rRNA from 1 species